GAACCGUCCAAACGUUAUUCGGAAUCACUGGGCUUAAAGGGCGCGUAGGCGGCCGAGCGGGUCGCGGGUGAAAUCCUCCAGCUUAACUGGAGAACUGCCCUCGAUACCACUGCGGCUCGAGGAAGGAAGGGGCAAUCGGAACUGUCGGUGGAGCGGUGAAAUGCGUUGAUAUCGACAGGAACGCCGGUGGCGAAAGCGGAUUGCUGGUCCUUUUCUGACGCUGAGGCGCGAAAGCCAGGGGAGCAAACGGGAUUAGAUACCCCGGUAGUCCUGGCCUUAAACGAUGAGAACUAGGUAGUGGGUCCGACCUGGGCACACUGCCGAAGCGAAAGUCUUAAGUUCUCCGCCUGGGGAGUAUGGUCGCAAGGCUG
rnacentral:rRNA from 1 species